rnacentral:rRNA from 1 species
CAAACGGGUGAGUAACACGUGGGAAUCUACCCAUCAGUGGGGAAUAACUUUGGGAAACUAAAGCUAAUACCGCAUACGUCCUUAGGGAUAAAGACUUCGGUCGCUGAAGGAGGAGCCCGCGUUAGAUUAGGUAGUUGGUGGGGUAAUGGCCUACCAAGCCUAUGAUCUAUAGCUGGUCUUAGAGGAUGAUCAGCCACACUGGGACUGAGACACGGCCCAGACUCC